rnacentral:misc_RNA from 1 species
AAUAUUUGGGUCGCUUUGAAUUUCCCCUAGGAGCAGCAGAAUGAGCUGAUCCAUUAGCUCCUGCGCUAGACGACGCCGCAUUAUUACUCAUCGGAUGGAGGAACCAAGUUCUCUUCUCUAAACAGGAAAGAAAAAACAAAGAGAAAGAAGGCGGAGAUCACUAUGAGAAAGAAGAAGAAGAGAUUGAGAGAUUUGAAGACAGAAGGACAAGAAAUAUAUUUGUAGUAAGAGAGGGAGAUGAAAUUGUUGGCUUGACUUGGGAAAGAGCAGAGCGCAGGCAGCAGUCAGGCGAGCAAACGCCCUCUUAUGCAAGGACUCAACUUUCUUACUAUUUUGGAGAUAGAUGUGUUGGCUUUCACCUAGUGCCGUUUUGGGCUUCCACGUUGAAGUUGUAAUCGGUAUUUAGAAUGAUGAUCGAGUAGAAUCGAUUUUCACAUAUAUUCUUAUGUAUAUUAUAAGAUGUAGAAUCGAAACUAGAUUUAUUU